AGAGUUUGAUCCUGGCUCAGGACGAACGCUGGCGGCGUGCUUAACACAUGCAAGUCGAACGGUGAUCUCGGUGCUUGCACCGGGUGAUCAGUGGCGAACGGGUGAGUAACACGUGACUAACCUGCCCCCGACUCUGGGAUAACCCCGGGAAAUCGGAGCUAAUACCGGAUACGAGACGCACAGGCAUCUGUAGCGUCUGGAAAGAAUUUCGGUCGGGGAUGGAGUCGCGGCCUAUCAGCUUGUUGGUGGGGUAACGGCCCACCAAGGCGACGACGGGUAGCCGGCCUGAGAGGGCGACCGGCCACACUGGGACUGAGACACGGCCCAGACUCCUACGGGAGGCAGCAGUGGGGAAUAUUGCACAAUGGGCGAAAGCCUGAUGCAGCGACGCCGCGUGGGGGAUGAAGGCCUUCGGGUUGUAAACCCCUUUCAGCAGGGAAGAAGCGAAAGUGACGGUACCUGCAGAAGAAGCGCCGGCUAACUACGUGCCAGCAGCCGCGGUAAUACGUAGGGCGCAAGCGUUGUCCGGAAUUAUUGGGCGUAAAGAGCUCGUAGGCGGUCUGUCGCGUCUGCUGUGAAAACCCGAGGCUCAACCUCGGGCCUGCAGUGGGUACGGGCAGACUAGAGUGCGGUAGGGGAGACUGGAAUUCCUGGUGUAGCGGUGGAAUGCGCAGAUAUCAGGAGGAACACCGAUGGCGAAGGCAGGUCUCUGGGCCGCAACUGACGCUGAGGAGCGAAAGCAUGGGGAGCGAACAGGAUUAGAUACCCUGGUAGU
rnacentral:rRNA from 1 species